rnacentral:sRNA from 1 species
UUGACUACGCAACAGACAACUACCAACGAGGGCACUGAGUUUAUCCGAUGAAUCAAAAUGCUUACAAGGCUAUCUCAUCAUCAUCCCCUAUGCAUAUGCAACAAUCCUAAAUGAAACACUCUAGACUCGAUCCUAAAUAUAAUGCAACUACAUGAACACUCUUUUUUUGUGAAAUCAUUUUCUGAAAUUUUUCAAUGUUUUUUGGUUUUUCUAUGCCUUAGAUGAAUGCAGACUCAAAAAUAUACACAAUGUAACACACACUUCCUGAGCCCUCCCCCAAACUUAAAUCACACAGUCCACUGUGUGAAUAAACUUGGAAGAGAGUACUCAGGACAAAUCCAAUCACAGAAACAAAAAAUGAAGAAACAAAUCACAACAGUUGAUAUAAUACAAUGGUGAAGUGAGGCGCUUACCUCAGUCGAAGAAUGAAUGUAGUUGCUCGUCAAUGGCUGCCUGUGAUUGCUCCCAGGCCAUAGACGAACCACCUUGUUCUGUAUCAGCUCCAGCAGGUGGGUACUCGACCUCAUCAGCUCUCUGGCGGCCAGCACCGCUCUGAGGAUACUCGACCUCUCUCCUUCUGCUGCGGCCAGCACCGCGGUCGCGUAAACUACGAGACUGCAGAAGUCGUCUGCUCCUACUGCUAGAUCGAGUGAGUGUGGUCCUCCUCUUCCUCCCAGAUUCCCGAGGCUCGAAUGAUGAAUGCCUCGCAGGGACAUGCAGAAUCUCCUUCUCUCUAGGCUCAGGCCUGCGCCGACUUGGCUCGGGCGCGUCAUAUCUCCUUGAAGGCAUGUCCUGAGGGAGAUGUCCCUGUGGAAUAGCUGUAGUGGAAGAGGAGCAGCUGAUCUUGUUCUUCAGAAACUUGAUAUCCCUGAGGCACUUGGCGAGUAACUUGUCCUGUUUCUCGCACCACUUCUGCAGCUUGCUGUUGUUCCUGUGUGCUUCGCUCAAACUCUUGCUUUCCCUCGCUGGAGGUAUGUGCUCACUGAAAUGAUACAUGCUUGUGUCAAACUCCGCCUCAUCUAUAUCAUCUGUCUCAUCAACAUCUUCUGUUGUAGCUCCUUCGGUGUGACUGAUCACCUCAGUUGGCGGACUGCCCUCGAAAUAAAGAUCUUCAAGCGCAGGCUUGAAGUCAAUGUUCAUGCCCUCGAGAAUCCUAGUAGCGUCAAUGCAGGGGAGGAGAAUGUUGGCGAUUCUAAUCGAUGAAUGCUCGAACCUGUAGCGGUGAAAGUCGCCAGCCAUGUCAAACUCCAAGAACUCACAUUGGCGCAAAUGAUCCAAGUCCAUCAUCCUCGGUGCUAACCCUGGUUCCCUGAGCGUUACUCCACAAGCUUGCAGAAUUGGCGUCACAACGCCACCCACGCAUAGUGCUCCUCUCACCUUCUUCUUUCCGUUCGUCAAUGCCCACUUCCUGUAUCCACACAGAUGGAUCAACAGAGGCAUUACUGGUGGUGCGUUAUUGAGAUCGCCUCUCAAGACGUUCUUUCCCUUCGUCCGCCGAAGAAUCCCUAUAAGCGCAUAAUCUAUCAUCUCCAUGUCCGUGUUAGACAAGGUGCCUGUAGACUCCCUGGAGUAAAAGACGUUGGCAACCGAUCGCUGAAAGUAGCGGAUCACAGGACUCCGAAUUUGGUUGUUCUUGGACCGCGCCGAGUUUAGCGGUAGAUUGUUCCCUAUAGUGGCCCACAAAUCCUUAAGCUCUUCUCUGUCAAAUUUGGGUUUGGUUCCCUUUCCACUAGGGAAACCAAACAGUUUUUCCAACUUCUUGAUCGAAAGCUGAUACCGCUGUUCAUCCACUGAGAACGUCAAGAAACCUAAUCCCAUGGUAUCCAGCUCAAAGUCUGUGAGUCCCUCAUACAUCUCCACUUGCAGCGUGGAAAGAAACUCGAUUGUCUCCUCCUUAUAGGCAGGGUAAGGGUAAGACAUGAGUGUCUCCAGAUAACACUUCUCGAACAGAUGUUGUACGUCCUCCAGUAACCCAACUGGGCUAAAGUCUCAUAGCACGGAUACCUCGUUCCCUAGAAGUCAUUCAUCUCAAAGAAUCUGAUAUACUCCUCCACUGUAACCUCGUCGGGUUUGUUCAGCAGCUUCGUCUCCUUACGCCAUGACUCUGGCUCAUACUCAGUUUUGAUGUCCUCAUCAAUCAGCUCAUAUCUACUCGACAUCGCCCUCUUUCCUCUGGCGAUUUCAGCUCUUCUCUGAUUACGUCGGGCUGUAGAGCGUUCGAAUUCAUCCCUGACCAGGACUCAGCUUCAUCCCUGACCAGGACUCAGCUUCAUCCACAUUGUAAUCAGGGUCCAUAGAGAAUUCUCCACUGUAGUUACUCAUUACGAAACCUGAAAGCAAAUGUAACUCAAAAAUAAACGUUAAUACGUUAGUUCAUACAAAACCAGAAACACAAACGACACAAACCAAAAACAGGUCGAGUAAACUGGUCGAGUAAACCGUCGAGUAAACCGAUCGAGUAAACCGUAGCCGGUUUUGAAUAUUUUUUU